rnacentral:lncRNA from 1 species
ACAAUAUUAAAGUAGCACACAUUUAUACAGGUAAAGGCGUAAUAUUUGUUAAAUAUUUUAAAUAUCAACAAUGUCGAUACUGUAUCUGGUAAUUUUCAAUUUUUUUAAUGCAGGUCUGCGUUUUACAAAUACAAGCAUGUUAUUAUUUCAAGUUUUAUAUUGCUGUUUGAUCCCAUUCGUAAAUAAAGGCAACAGUAGUAAACCGGUGUUCGACUGUCAUAAAUCAAUUGAGUGAAAACAAAUCCGGGUUACAAACUAAAACUGAGGGAAAAACAUCAAAUAUAAGAGGAAAGCAAGGCAUCAGAAAUACUAUAUGAAUAUAAAAUAAAGAUUACGGUAGUCAAGGUACAUUUAUUUCUUCGGCUUUGUUUAAUUUUACACAGUACAUGAUGUUUAAUGCAAAUAUUAUAUAUACAUACCACCCCUUGCUACGCUACGCGAGAUCUUCUUAAAUGGUGCUUAACGAUAUCUUAAAAAGUGCAAAUAUAUACAGAAAUCGUCUUUUUGUUGCCGUUAUGCGUUUUGAGCAUGGCUCCUUUUGUAAGGUUUUGAUUUUUUUUUUAUUGUUUUGCCAGAUGUUCGGAAUUUUCUGAUUGUAUCCAUGUAUUGCCAUUAAAAUAGGCCCGCAACAUGUAACCCUUUCUUUUAUUUUCAUAUUUUUAUCACAUAAAGUUUAAAAAGCCAUAAUUUUAAAACUCUAGUGAAAUCCUUGUUAAUUUUCAUAGUUUUUGAAACAAAACAAAAAAAGGCCAAUAAUAAAAGUAUGUCAAUUCUAGAGCGAAUCGUUUCCCGCCAAAUUUUCAAUGGCUUAUAUCAAACAUGCAUAGAUGCCUUUCAUUUUUUUUCUGCUUUGAACGUACCUUUAUUUAUACAAUAUCAUUUUAAAACAAUGUUUUACAACGCUUGGUAUUACUUAUCCCAAGAAUAUAUUUCCUUAGUCGUAUUUGGCACCACUUUAUGGAAUUUUGGGUCCUCAUUAAUGCUCAAGUUUUUAUUUUAUUGGCUGUAUAACUUUAAUUGAUCUGAGCGUCACUGAUGAGUGUUAUGAAGACGAAACGCGCGUCUGGUGUAUUAAAUUAUAAUCCCGGUACUUUUGAUAAAUAUUACCUACCUUUAAAACAAGGUUUAAUCCACCAUUUUUUACGUAAGAAAAUGCCUGUUCUAAAUCAGGUAAUAAAAUAGUCGUUUUCAUUUGUCUGAUGUGUUUUAGGUUUUGAUUUUGACUUGUGAUAAUGGACUUUCCGAUUUCAGUUUUUCUUGAAGUUCGAUAUUUUUGAUAUUUUACUUUUGACUAAUUUUAAUUUCAAAUUAUUGACAAUUACAAAUGUUUUAGUUUAGUGUGUAAGAUUUUUGUGAAAGAAGUCCUGGAUCUAGAUAUAAACGAUGAUUAAGAUGUCCUAUACACCAUCAAAUUAUUGAGAAACAACCUAUGUGUUCAGUUUGGAAGAUAUUUUAAAAUAUCGAAAUACACAAUAAAUUACGUUGUACUGUUCCUAUUUUCUUUCAGAUUUACAGCUUUAAUCCAAGAUUCUCAAUUAAAAAACAUCAGUUCAACUACAAAUGAACUUAUAUUCUGAGGAUAGCCGAGUUAAAAUUAUCCUUGGCGGCCAUCCUCGUUAAAUUCAAUAAAUUUCACGUUUCAUUAGAAGUUUCUAUCUUAAGUUAUCAAUAAAAAAAAAAAACAAUAACAAUGUCUAUUUCUGAUUUUCGACUUUAUUCAAAAUCUAAUUUUUAAACUGCAGAUAUUUACCAAUAAUUUCGAUAAUAGAAUUGAUAACAUAUAAGCAAAAAAUGUAAAGUAUUGAUAGGAAUGGAGAUAAUUGAUAAGAAGUAACCUAAAUAAAUUAAGGCAACAGUAGUUUAUUAACUCAUCAAAGAUACCUCUAUUUGAAAUUCAUAAAUCGAUUGAGAAAAAAAACCAGAUCCGGAAUACAAACUAAAACUGAGGGAAACGCAUCAAAUAUAAGAAUACCACGACACAACAUUAGAAUGUAACACACACAGAAACGAGCUAUAUUAUAACAAUGGCCAUUUCCCUGAUUUGGUACAGGACAUUUUAAAGAAAAACAUGAUGGGUUGAACCUGGUUUUGUGGCAUGCCAAACCUCCCGCUAAAAUGGUCAUGUUAAAUUUAACAUUAAAAUGACAACAUUACAUGACAGGAAUACAAUACAAAUGAAUGGGAGAAAAUAUAGGACAGAGAAACACACAAAUAAUAGCUAACAAAAGGUAAACUAAGGCUACAGCAUAAACAUUGCAUCUACACGUGCCAUUUUUAUAUCUCAGCAUUGGAUAGCAUUCUUCAAAAAAAUGUUAGAAAGGCAAGAGGAAACUAAUUUCUUCUGAUUGUAAAAGAAAGAUUUAACACCCAUCCGGAUGUGUAAAUUAUAUGAUUUCACCUACUGGUGUUUAGAAAAAACCAUAUGUCGUAGAUUUAUCUGAUAUAAAAAGUAUUAUUUUUUUUGUUUUAGUCCGGUUAAUUCCCUCAAACUCGAUUUAAGAAUGGAGAAAUUGAGACAAAUUGCUAUUGGGACAUGUAUUGCUGGCUUUCUGAUGGUCUUAAGUGGGAUUGUAACACCAGGAUGGCUGAUUUAUGACUACAGUGAGGAACAAUUAGAGACGCAAUGGGAGACAGAGGUUGGCCAAUUUUUUUUCAUGGCAAUAAGAACACGAAUUGGAUUCAGUAAAUAACUAUCAACAAAUUUUUAAAUUUGAAAUACUAAAAACCGUUGGAAUUCAAUUAAAAGAACAAAUGUUGUUAAUAUUUUUUUAGAUAAAGACAACAGUAGUAUACCGCUGUUCGAAAUUAAUAAAUCGAUUGAAAAAAAACCAAAUCCGGGUUACAAACUGAAACUGUGGGAAAUGCAUCAAAUAUAAAUGGAGACAUACGACACAACAGAAACACAACAACAAAAUGUAACACACAAAGAAACGAACAUUUCUAGCAAAAAUACAAAAAAUAUAAAUCAAUAAUAAGACAUUGAACAUAGAAAAGACGAUGAUUUAAUAAAGAUGUGAGGGUACUCAUAUAUGAAAACAAUUUAACGACAAAAAUGAAGUUUGUUCUGAUUAAUAGAUGUUUUAACUCCAUCAUGGUAAAAUUACUCCGUGUACAUGUAAUGCAGACCUAUCUGGGUUGUGGAGAUGGUCAAUUUCAUAUGCUAAAUUUUUGCAUUAUAUAAAUUUUAUAAUGUUUGACAACUUUUAUUUAUAACAUGGUAUUGAAAGUUUAUUAAUCGUAUUCAAUAUUGUAUUAUGCAGCUAAACAUAUCUCUACCAAGCAAAAAAUUCAAGCAGCAUUUCGAAAAACAUCAGGUAUGUAUUCUUUAACAAUUGGAAGACGUAUCUGAUUGAAAUGAUGAAAAUCAAUAUCAUUUUUGAAGUAAAAAAAAACAAAACAGUAAGCAUAACUCAGAAAAUUUGCUGAAAUCAGAAAAGAAGAUUCUAGACAAAAAUACUUUACGUAAGAUAAAUAGAAAAUAAAUAGACAGCAAUACUCAAGUGAAAUUGUGGGUAUACGCCAAACGGACAAAAAUAUAAGUUACGACAAACCUUAUUUUUUUUCUUAUCUAAUCAUUUUGGCCAAAAUUCAACAUUAUGGUGAUUGUCCAGAUACAUAUAUGUUCACAACCAAUUAUGAUAAGCAAUAAAACAGUGUAAAUCCAUGUAGAAUUAUGUAGAUUGUUUUGAUAUUUAUUUUGUAUAUUCUAAAUCUUUUAACCCCACAAAAAGUUUUAUGAUCUUUGACAAAUGGUUCGAAAUUAAUUAAUCAUAUACAAUAUUUUAUUAUUCAGCCAAUUUCUGUAACGGUUGCCAUUUCAAGAGAACGUGAUCUUCCAAAAUAUUUUUUUGGGCCAUUUUAUAUGUGCUUGUGCUUGCCUAUUGAUGAAUUAUGUGUUCUGUUUUCGUCAGGGAAUUAUAUAGGGUUGAUAGAAAAUACAAUCCAAUAUCAUUCAGGUAAUUUCUAUUGAUCGAUUUAGUUACUGCACAUUUAAAAAUGAAAUUUAUUACAUUUUAUGGAAACAUGUAGAACAUGUCCUGCAUUUAUUCCACAUUCACACCUUGCACUGUUGUGCAAACGUACUAUUGGAAAGCCUUUUUAAUUAUUGACAAAUGAAACACAGAAGCAUCAUGAAGGCUGUUGUGUUAUGAUAAGGACCAUUCAACACAGAUAUUAGCUGCCUUGGCUUGACUAGGAAUCUUAUGAGAAAUGCAGUUUAACAAGAUAUAUUAAAUCUCAUAUACACUAAAAAAUGCCGCCACGCAUAUCCUUCGAGGAAAUCAUGUAGCUAGGGCCUUUAGAGGUACAGCACUACUUUCAGAAUUUCCGCUGGAAAUUUUGAAUUUUGCAAAAAAGUAUAAAUUGUGGUGAUUAAAAUGUGUGUUGGACGAAAGAAAGUCAUAGUUCGACUUUCGGACUCUCUGCCUGAUCAGACAAUACUGGGGUUCACCUUAAACUCGUUGUUACUUUGAAAGAAAAUCAAGAAUCAGCUGAUUGUAUUAGGAAAAUCAUACUAAAGUUUAUCCUAUAAACUUCAGGAAGUUAUUGUUUUGAAGUGAGUAAUGGCAAUUGUUUUAUUAUCAGCAACGCAAAUGUUUGAUUCAUAGUUUUACUUAAAAUUUUUCUUUUUAACGAUGGUCCGGAAGAGAAAACUGUUGUUAAGAAGAAUAACAUUUAAAAGAAAAAAAAACUGACUUUAGUCUUUAUCCUCCAACAAGACGGAGGUAUCUGAUAAACCUAUUGUAGAUAAAUGUCGUGUUACCCGGUAAAAAAAAAUUAUGAUUUCAUGAUCUAUUAUAGCAGUUUCACAUUUUUUUGUAAUUAAAUGUUCAUUAUUGAUUAUUACAAAAUAGAUAUCAAGAAUUAUAAAAAAAACCCAACAAUGUGACAAAAUGAUUAUUUCUUUUUCGAAAGAAGAAAAAAUUUAAACUAAAAUUAGGUUUAUUUUUGUAGGCAAACAAAACUUGGAAGUGGCAAAAAAUGUAUUGUUUAUAUAAACAAAUGAGGUGGUAAAAAAUAAAAUUGACCCAGUUUAAACCCUUACUACAUUGCUCGUUGGUUUCAGAAAAUUUAAUGUUGACGUAUCCUAUUUAUUUUAGGAACCCUAUUCAACCAUUGAUUCAAAUAAAAUGAGGGAGAUUUAUCAUUUGUAUUCUCAAAUACCUUCGCGAUAGCUGCAAGUUUCAGAAGCGUGUGGAUCAUGCGUCUUGAAAAAUCAUAGAAACAACUGUUUUGAGAAAAACGAGCAAUAAUUAUUAUAAAAGCCGAAACGUACAACACAAAUCAGUCCUCUAUCCCGCACCGAUUGUGUACUUACCCUCAGCGAAAAGAAGGGUUUUACUAGUUGAACAACACUGUCUUACUCUUGCAUAUUCUCGUGUAAUCCUAAUCCUCUGUUUAUGAUUGAUUUUUAACAGCUAUUUCUUACUCUUUUGCAUUUCUUAAGGUAAUCCCUCUGUUUAUGAUUAGGGUUUUCCUUUGUACUGUUUUAUAGGUUAUUUUUAUUUUGUAGUCGUUUCUUUUUUUCUUUUUAUUGAUAAUUAUUUAUGAUACUGUCGGGUUGUUAUUUCUAUUUUUGUUUGAAGAUUUUUUUUAUUUUUUUUUUGUUAAUACAACUCGCGUCACAAAAGAAACACAACACAAAAAUGCAACACACACAGAAACGAACUAUAAUAUAGCAAUGAUCAUUUUCUGACCUGGUACAGGAAAUUUUUAGAAAAAAUGGUGGGUUGAACCUGGUUUUGUGGCUAACCAAUUCUCCCACUUUAUGGCAAUGUUAAAUUUAACAUUAAAAUGGCAACUUUAGAUGACAGAAUUCCAAUAAAAAUAAAUUGGUGAACAUACAGGACAGAUAAACACACAAAUAAUAGCUAUCAAAAGGUACCAGGCUUAUAAUUUAAUAAGCCAGAUGUCACUGACAUAUCAUAUAACAGUCAUAAGAUGGCCGUAAUGUAAAUAUAAGGUUAGGAUAGUUUCGAAAGCAACGACCCAAUGUAUUCAGGGUGUGACAUUGAUAUUAAAACCACUGAUAUUCUUGACUCCUCGAAACGAUACUUUUAUUCUUAGCAAACAUGUUUACAACAUACAAACUCAAAAUAUAUCAACAUAUCCACAAAAAUAUCUUAAAAUAUGUAUAUGUGACCUUUGCAAUAGUUUAUAGACCAUUGAUGUAUGAUUUGUAUCAUUUUAGAUUCAAACUUAAAAACAACGAUGGGGUUUCUGCAUAUAUCCAUAAAAACAC